CUUCUCUUCUUAUGAUGGUUUCCGCUACUGCUGCUAUUGCUAUGGUGGUAGGAAUGUGAUGGUUGUGGUGAUGAUGGCAGUGAUGGUGGUGGUGGUGGUGAUAAUGGUGAUGGUGGCAAUGAUGGUAAUGAAGAUGAUGGUGAUGGUGAUGAUGAUGGUAAUGACAUGGUGGUGUGAUCAUGAUGAUGGUGAGGAUGGUGGUGGUGAUGAUGGUAACAGUGAUGAUGAUGGUGAUGGUGGUGAUGAUGGUGAUGGAGGUGAUGAUGGUGAUGGUGAUGGUGAUGAUGGUGAUGGUGGUGAUAUGAUGGUGAUGGUGAUGAUAUCAUGAUGAUGGUGAGGAUGGUGGUGGUGAUGGUGAUAGUGAUGAUGAUGGUGAUUAUGUGAUAGUGAUGGUGAUGGUGAUGAUGAUGGUGAUGAUGUGAUGGUGAUGGUGGUGAUGAUGACAGUGAUGGUGGUGAUGAUGGUGAGGAUGAUGAUGGUGAUGGUGAUGAUGGUAAUAACAUGAUGGUAGUGGUGAUCAUGAUGAUGGUGAGGAUGGUGGUGGUGAUGAUGGUAGUGAUGAGGAUGAUGGUGGUGGUGUUGAUGGUGCUGAUGACAGUGAUGGUGACAAUAGUAAUGAUG
rnacentral:lncRNA from 1 species